rnacentral:lncRNA from 1 species
UGUGGCUCGGGGGCGGGCCCCUCCGGGGCGGGCCGCUCAGGGUUAAAGGGGCGUCCGCGGGCCGCCGCCGCUCCGCCGCGGGGAGACAAAGCGUCCGCUCGCCGCCGCCCCCCCAGCGGUUCCAGGCCAUGGGCGGUGCGGACCGUCGCGCCAGCCCCGCAGCCAGGCUCCUGAGUACCUGUUCCAUACCAGACACUCAGAUUCAGGCAGAAAACCCCUCCCCUCCUGGAGCAGGCGCGAAUGACCCAGGCUGUUUACAUACCUCUCGUGAAAGGCAUGACUGCCGUCUGCAGAGCGAGGCUGUGACAGGGGACCCACGGGUUGCAGGGCCUCCUCCGAGGGGCCACACUGGUGACGUGCGUGCUGCCUCCCGGGGA